rnacentral:lncRNA from 14 species
AUCAUCUCGUGGUGAUCCCAUUCCCCACCUGUUACAGUGGUGGACUUGGAGAAGGAAAUCCCAUGCAUGGAUUUCUGCGAUGCAAAUUUACCACCAGCAUCCAGACAAACUGGUUCCAGGCUGUCCAUAUCUACCAUUGUGGACUCCAUGUGUUGUUUAGGCCAAAAGGCCGAAGAAACUCUGGGACUCAUAGGAGCAAAUAGGCUUCAUGAUGUCCUGACAAAAAAUAAUAUGUUCAACAGGAAAAAAAUUGUUGGGAACAUCCUUGGAGAAAUAAGGCAUGUUCCAAAGAUUUGUUCUGCCAAGAGUCCUGCAGGUCCUGACAACCUCGCUUCCGCCCUUUGGAGGAGAGAGAGUGAUCCUGCCUUGUCCAUGUCCGUGGCAUCUGACACCCACAAAUGGCAAGGGGAGAGCUCCUCUAGGUGCUUCUCUCCAGAUUUAGACGAGAUGCUGGAGAUCAGCUGGCUGUGGAAGUCUGCCCAACAGUGCUAUGCUGAGGAGGCCUACAACAGCCACAAAAAUUCUGAGGAGGCAGAGAGCACUGUCUCAUUGAGUGACUCCUCUGAGGAUGACCUGUCCUACCUGGAGGAUAUCAUUCCCGACUCUAACUCGGACUCACAGCACGCUGGUGUGGGGGUAGGGACCAAGAAGACCAACAGUACCAUCGGGAUCAGUUACACAUCCCUCAAUGCUGUAUUGUUCCUUGAAGACACCAACUGCAAACAGAUCCCAGAACCUCAAGAUGAUACCAAGGUUACCAACCGCAUCGGUGUAUCCAGUGACGUGAGUGAAACUGACCUACAGUUCAGUGAGAGAAUACAUGAUACUACAUAUUCCGUGAUUUCUGCCCAGAGUAGGAACACUAAAUAUGAAGAUGACAAUGGCAUAACCCUAGAGGAGUCACCAUCUCUAUCUAGCAAGGACCAGUUCUGGGAGGUGCCCAAAGACCCCAUAAAGAAGCAAAGAAGGCAGAUUAGUCAGUUCUUUUACAGUUUAUUCUGUUGCCUCCCCACCCCGAAGAAAAGAGAGACAACCUCCAGGGCUGAAGAUCAUGCCUGGGUCUGUGAUUCUUAA